UAUACCGUGAAACUGCGAAUGGCUCAUUAAAUCAGUUAUCGUUUAUUUGAUAGUACCUUACUACUUGGAUAACCGUGGUAAUUCUAGAGCUAAUACAUGCUAAAAACCCCGACUUCGGGAGGGGUGUAUUUAUUAGAUAAAAAACCAAUGCCCUUCGGGGCUCUUUGGUGAUUCAUGAUAACUUAACGGAUCGCAUGGCCUUGCGCCGGCGACGGUUCAUUCAAAUUUCUGCCCUAUCAACUUUCGAUGGUAAGGUAUUGGCUUACCAUGGUUUCAACGGGUAACGGGGAAUUAGGGUUCGAUUCCGGAGAGGGAGCCUGAGAAACGGCUACCACAUCCAAGGAAGGCAGCAGGCGCGCAAAUUACCCAAUCCCGACUCGGGGAGGUAGUGACAAUAAAUACUGAUACAGGGCUCUUUUGGGUCUUGUAAUCGGAAUGAGUACAAUUUAAACCCCUUAACGAGGAACAAUUGGAGGGCAAGUCUGGUGCCAGCAGCCGCGGUAAUUCCAGCUCCAAUAGCGUAUAUUAAAGUUGUUGCAGUUAAAAAGCUCGUAGUUGAACCUUGGGCCUGGCUGGCCGGUCCGCCUCACCGCGUGUACUGGUCCGGCCGGGCCUUUCCUUCUGGAGAGCCGCAUGCCCUUCACUGGGUGUGUCGGGGAACCAGGACUUUUACUUUGAAAAAAUUAGAGUGUUCAAAGCAGGCCUUUGCUCGAAUACGUUAGCAUGGAAUAAUAGAAUAGGACGUGCGGUCCUAUUUUGUUGGUUUCUAGGACCGCCGUAAUGAUUAAUAGGGAUAGUCGGGGGCAUCAGUAUUCAAUUGUCAGAGGUGAAAUUCUUGGAUUUAUUGAAGACUAACUACUGCGAAAGCAUUUGCCAAGGAUGUUUUCAUUAAUCAGUGAACGAAAGUUAGGGGAUCGAAGACGAUCAGAUACCGUCGUAGUCUUAACCGUAAACUAUGCCGACUAGGGAUCGGGCGAUGUUUCUAUCUUGACUCGCUCGGCACCUUACGAGAAAUCAUAAG
rnacentral:rRNA from 5 species